rnacentral:rRNA from 1 species
AUUGAACGCUGGCGGCAGGCCUAACACAUGCAAGUCGAGCGAGCGGCGGACGGGUGAGUAUAGUAUGGCGAAUGCGCGCUAGAGGGGGAUAUAUCCUGGCAACGGUAGCUAAUACCGCAUACUAUAGGAUAACCCAUAUGGGAUUAGCUCGUAGGUGGGGUAAUGGCUCACCUAGGCGACGAUCCCUAGCUGGUCUGAGAGGAUGAUCAGCCACACUGGGACUGAGACACGGCCCAGACUCCUACGGAGGCAGCAGUGGGGAAUAUUGCACAAUGGGGGCAAGCCUGAUGCAGCCAUGCCGCGUGUAUGAAGAAGGCCCUAGGGUUGUAAAGUACUUUCAGUCGAGAGGCGUUACCGACAGAAGAAGCACCGGCUAACUCCGUGCCAGCAGCCGCGGUAAUAC